rnacentral:lncRNA from 1 species
CUUCUCUUGAAAAAUUGGAGAUCUGACAACAUUAGAUCUGCAUCCACAUGUGGCACCAAUAUCUGGAACUGAGUAGCAGCUGCUCACUUCAGACAAACCAUGUUCUCUCCAGUUUGACAAAGUCCCUAUCACCCCAUAUUUUAUGCCACACCUACUUCACUCAUUUGCUCUUCCACCCUGGCUCCUUGAGGCAUUUGACUUUUCUUUCAUUGCUUGUGGUCGUUGUAUUAAGUUUCCUCGCUUGUGGUAUUACCUGUUAAAGUUUCCAAAAUUUUCUUUUCAUUAAAUAAUAGCAUUGCAAAGACUAUGCCCAAUGAUACUGGACAAAGAAUUAUUGAAAAGAAUAAAAGUCAGAAUGCAACCAAAAUGUCCAAAAAUAGGUGAUUGUUUAAAUUGUAUUUUAUGCUGGUAUAUCCUUAGAAUAGAAUACCAUGUAGGAUUAAAAAUGUUUAUCUUGAAAGAAUGAAUGCAGAUUACUAAACUAUGUAUACAUCAAGAUUCCUAUGUUGUAGGAGAAGAAUAUUCAUACAUAUAGAAAAAGAGCUAAAGUGAUGUGUCAAAGCAGUAUCAGAAAAAUAUGUACAUAUACAAAAAAUAUAAACAAAUAAGUGAAUAAGUAAGUCCCAAGGGCAGCUUUUGUGGGUCCCCUUCUACAGGGCUUUGUUAGUCCCUUUUGACCUAAUGGUUUGAACAUAUGCUAAAGCUAUUUUUUAAUUCUCUAUCAAAACCUGAUUUUCCUUCUUACCUUUAUUCUUUAGAGAAUACAAUGAAGAAUAAGAUUUCUGUAGUUGUUUUAAAUACUUGAGAAAAGUAUUCUUACUUGCCCACAUGCUACACUGCCACUUUGGCAAAGCAAGAGAACCAGUUUCUGUGUUGGCUUUGAGUUAGUUUGUUCUUCUAAAGCACCUUUUGGUGACAUAAAAAAAUAUUCAAAACUUUAAAAAAAAUCUUGGAACAGAAAAAAUACACAUAAACAUUGCACUUAAUAACAUGACCACAAAAACUCUUAGAGGCUAGGACUGAAACUCAUCAUCACAAAGGCGUCAGCUUUUUGCCAACCAUAGGAAGGAGUGCUCCCAGCAAUCCUAGGUAUCCUGUUUAUGAUUUGAUUGUUUUGACUAUCUAUCUCUAAUUCUUGAAGCAUUUGAAGCAUUCUUCACCUUUACACUCUAUAGCGUCUGUUUUUAUGGUUCUCCUGUUCAUCUGAAUGAUCUUUCAUCCAUCCUCCCUUUAUCUGCCCACAAAAUGUAAGUUUGUCUGUCUUUCUCUCCUCACUGCAUUCUUGAAAUCUGUGGACAGUUUCAUGAAAUCCACAUAGCUUCAACUAGAUGUUUGGAGCACUUCCCUAGAGAUCUAAGUAUCUAGUCCUGGCCUGUAGACUCUGGUACUGCACAUGUGGGUUUCCUGCUGCUCAAUGGACAUUUCCACAUGUUUCACCCACAACAUCUCAAACUCCUACUGCUAUCCUUUGAGUAGUCUAGAAGCUAGUCAAAUUGACCCCAGACACAGUUUGUGCUUUCCUAUCCCUUGCUUUGACUCUUUCUGUUUCCCUUGCCUAAAACCUAUCUCUCCAAUUUCUAAUUGUUGGAAUUUUCCCACAUUCCAAAGUCCAUCUCAAACACUGCCUGCUUCAGAUUGAGUGUCACACAGGAAAAAUAAGUGGCCCAAUGUAUAUGUUUUUUUAAAAAAAUUAAGAAUCACAACUUUCACCUCAGUGAUAAUGAUGCAUUUAUCUAUGGACACUUUAUGUGCAUAAAUUGCCCCCCAAGAAAAGCCAAUAAAAAGUGAAUAUAAUUAAACAGCAGAUAGUUUGAAAGCAAAUGCUACUUGUAAACCACUGUACUGAAGGCAGCGGGAAAUUUGGAGAUGUGUAAAUCAGGAAUUGUCCUCAGGGAGCAUAUAGUCUAGUUAAGGAUGCAUAGCAGAAAAGUUCUGAAACCAGAAGUCUCAAAUCAGUUUCACUGUACUAAAGUAAAGGUGUUGGGAGGGCUGGUUCCUUUUAGCGGCUAUAAAGGAGGAUCCAUUUAUUUGCCUUUUCUAUCUUUUGGAGGACCCUGCACUCCUUGGUGCAUGACCCCUUCUUCAAAUAACCCCAACCUCUUGUUUCUGUCAUCACAUCUGCUAACUCUGAUCCUCCUGCCUCUCUCUUAUAAGAACCUUUGUGAUUACAGUUAGAGUCCACCUAGAAAAUCCAGGAUAAUCUCCUCAUUUUAAUAGCCUUAAUUUAAUCAUAUUUGCAAGACCCCUUUGCCACGUAAGCACCAUGCAGGGACAUGGCUCACCCUGGUUUCUGACAAAGGACUACACCUGAAGUGAGCUACAGAAGAAGGACAGAUUCUAUAAUUCGAAAACAAGAUUCUCUCAAGUGGUUUUGCACAGAUUAUUACUGAUCUCCAAUGAAAUAAAAAUUCUAGUGUUUUUUUUAUUUGCUUAUUCAUUCAACACACAUUGACUGAAUACCUACUGUGUGCCAGUUUAGUACCAUGGCUGAGAAUGCGGGCUUUAAAAUCAGAUUGGCUGGAUUUAAUUCCCAGCUCCUCACUUGCUAGGCGUGUGAUCUUGAGCAAGUUACACAAUCUUUCUAUACCUCAGUUUUCUUUUCUAUGAAAUGCGGAUAUUGGUAGUACCUCAUUCAUAGGAUUCUUGUGAUGCUAAAGUAUGAUUUUAAAAUGUAAAGUCCUUAGCAGACUGCUUAGGGCAAGCCAAUUAGUAAUAUGUUGGCCAUCAUUAUUAUUAUGAGCCAGG